CUCCUUUGCAGUUAACUUGCAACUCAGACAAGGUCUCGAGUUUCCUAUGAACAUCUUUUUCUGUCCCUGGCACAUCGAAGUGACCUCUAACCAAGACUGGACAUUGAAGACAGGAAACUUGGGUUUGUGAAGAAAGAGCAGCAUUCUCUAGUAUUGCUCUCCUGUAGAGGAAGCUGCCAUGGUGGCUAUACUUCACGAGGUCCUUAUUCUGAAUGAAGAGGGAAAAGAAACCAACUUGUGAAGCCAUUAACACCACAAACAACCGGACCUCUCUGCUUUGGCCUCAGGCGUCACUGGAAUGUUUCAUCUGGGCCACAGUUCUGCCUGUCUCCACUGAAGCAGCACAGCACCAAGAAGAGGUGCCCAGUUCUACUCUUUCAUUAAAUUUCAUUAAAGAAGAUUCUGCCAUUCAGCCACUGGAGUGAGUAGCGAUGAACACAAUGGAUUCUGUAUUCGACCACAGGCAGCUCCAUUUUGGUAUCACUUUCUUUUUUUUUUUUUUUUUUUUUUUUUUCAACGUUUAUUUAUUUUUUUGGGACAGAGAGAGACAGAGCAUGAACGGGGGAGGGGCAGAGAGAGAGGGAGACACAGAAUCGGAAACAGGCUCCAGGCUCUGAGCCAUCAGCCCAGAGCGCGACGCGGGGCUCGAACUCACGGACCGCAAGAUCGUGACCUGGUUGAAGUCGGACGCUUAACCGACUGCGCCACCCAGGCGCCCCUGGUAUCACUUUCUGUGCUAUGGAUGCCACUUUUUUUUACUGCUUGUAAAAGGAAUGAUCCUAGCUAACUACAAACAGGUCAAAUGGUUCGGUUUCUCCCUCAGACAUUCUAUAAGGUAACAUUAGAGUUACCUUAUGUAUUCCUUACAUAGGUGAUUAGGUUUCCCAUACUUGGAACCUAACUACUCUUGUACUUUGUCCUAAAGGAAUACCAUUUUUCUUCCUUUGGCAACUGAGAAGACACACCAGGGUCAUCAUCCAUUAUCAUAAAACCUGAUGGAUAGGAUCUCUAUAGUAUAGUACUGGCUUUUACAAAAUUAUUAAACCUUAACAAGCUGAUAAAACGAAACACUUAAAUGCAGUUGAGCCAACUGGAGAAUACAGAAGUAUAAUGGGAAAAAAGAGCGGACUAUGUGAAUCCCAGCCUCUGCCAGUUGGGAUUUUAAGGCUCUCAGUUUUUGUAUUUGUAACAUGGAACUGCCAUGAGCAUCACAUGAGAUAACGUGUGUUAAGUUCUUAGCAUGGUGUAGAAAUUUACAUACAUGUCAAUUCUUCCAUUUGGUGUUAUAUAGAAAAGGAGAGAAUUAAAACAGAGUUUACAGUUGGUGAAGCUUGAGUGGUGGAUUUGAAUUAACUGAUGCUGUGGCUUUUAAAAAAGGUCAUGCUUACAGGCCUGGACUCUGGAAUUCUCUCCCUGGGUUCAAUUUCUGGAUCUGCCACUUAACAAGCUGAAGGACGCUGUACAACCUACAACCUCUUUGUCGCUCGUGUCCCUUGGUUGCAAGGCAGGGAUAAUAGAGCAGCAUCUACCUUAUCAAAUUUCGUAGGGAUUACAUUAUUUAAUGCAAGUAAGUGUUCACAAAAGAAUCUGGCAUAGAAUAAGCUCUCAACGAACAUUAGCUGUUAUCAGUAUCAAAAAGCGAAAUACGUCAAAAGAGCCUAGAAAAUCUAGAUGAAUAAAUCCAUACAUUUCUGCUAUGAACA
ensembl:lncRNA